CCUACGGGAGGCAGCAGUAGGGAAUAUUGCUCAAUGGGGGAAACCCUGAAGCAGCAACGCCGCGUGGAGGAUGAAGGUUUUAGGAUUGUAAACUCAUUUUGUGAGAGAAGAUAAUGACGGUAUCCCACGAAUAAGCCUCGGCUAACUCAGGGCCAGCAGCCGACGGAAUAAGGAGGGUGCAAGCGUUACUCGGGAUCACUGGGCGCAAAGAGUGCGCCGGCGGGCUUGUAAGUCAGGUGUGAAAUCCUGUAGCUUAACUACAUAACUGCAUUGGAAACUAUGAGUCUAGAGUGUGGUAGAGGUAGGUGGAAUUCUUGGUGUAGGGGUAAAAUCCGUAGAUAUCAAGAGGAACACUCAUGGCGAAGGCGACCUACUGGAACAUUACUGACGCUCAUGCACGAAAGUGUGGGGAGCAAACAGGAUUAGAUACCCGAGUAGUC
rnacentral:rRNA from 1 species